rnacentral:lncRNA from 10 species
AGGAGGCGGCGGCCAUGGAGUUGGGCGAGCUGCUCUACAACAAGUCUGAGUACAUCGAGACGGCAUCUGGGAACAAAGUCAGUCGCCAGUCAGUGUUGUGUGGAAGCCAGAACAUCGUUCUCAAUGGCAAGAACUUUGUCAUUUCUGUUUUCCUGAGCCCAUAUAUCAGAUGUCACAGUGCCUGCAGGGAUAGAAAGAGAUCAGAUGAGUCAGUAAGACUGAGUGUGAACAAUAGAGAGUGGUGGGGCCUGGUGAAUUGGAGAAUGUGACCAAUCUAAGCCCAAGCUGGUUGUUACUGUGUGGGAAUACAGGCCCACGUGGCAACAAUCAGCUUUCCAGAGCGUCUGAUUCUUUUUCAAAAGCAACUGGAAAUCUCACUUUUUAAAAUGCAAGAUGUUCCACUACUCAAAUAGUAAUGUUUAAUUUUAAAUGAUUUGUUAAAAUGCCACGUGUCCUUCCUGUAGGAGAUAGCUAAAAAAAAUUAAAAGAAAUAAAUAAUAAAAAUGCUGCAUGAGCCAAACAA